rnacentral:rRNA from 1 species
GUGCCAGCAGCCGCGGUAAUACGUAGGUGGCAAGCGUUGUCCGGAUUUAUUGGGCGUAAAGUGAGCGCAGGCGGUUUCUUAAGUCUGAUGUGAAAGCCUUCGGCUCAACCGAAGAAGUGCAUCGGAAACUGGGAAACUUGAGUGCAGAAGAGGACAGUGGAACUCCAUGUGUAGCGGUGAAAUGCGUAGAUAUAUGGAAGAACACCAGUGGCGAAGGCGGCUGUCUGGUCUGUAACUGACGCUGAGGCUCGAAAGCAUGGGUAACAAACAGGAUUAGAUACCCUGGUAGUCCAUGCCGUAAACGAUGAGUGCUAGGUGUUGGAGGGUUUCCGCCCUUCAGUGCCGCAGCUAACGCAUUAAGCACUCCGCCUGGGGAGUACGACCGCAAGGUUGAAACUCAAAGGAAUUGACGGGGGCCCGCACAAGCGGUGGAGCAUGUGGUUUAAUUCGAAGCAACGCGAAGAACCUUACCAGGUCUUGACAUCCUUUGACCACUCUAGAGAUAGAGCUUUCCCUUCGGGGACAAAGUGACAGGUGGUGCAUGGUUGUCGUCAGCUCGUGUCGUGAGAUGUUGGGUUAAGUCCCGCAACGAGCGCAACCCUUAUUACUAGUUGCCAGCAUUAAGUUGGGCACUCUAGUGAGACUGCCGGUGACAAACCGGAGGAAGGUGGGGACGACGUCAAAUCAUCAUGCCCCUUAUGACCUGGGCUACACACGUGCUACAAUGGAUGGUACAACGAGUUGCGAGACCGCGAGGUUUACCUAAUCUCCUAAAACCAUUCUCAGUUCGGAUUGUAGGCUGCAACUCGCCUACAUGAAGCCGGAAUCGCUAGUAAUCGCGGAUCAGCAUGCCGCGGUGAAUACGUUCCCGGGCCUUGUACACACCGCCCGU